rnacentral:rRNA from 1 species
UACGGAGGGUGCGAGCGUUAUCCGGAUUCACUGGGUUUAAAGGGUGCGUAGGUGGGUCUGUAAGUCAGUGGUGAAAUCUCCGGGCUUAACCCGGAAACUGCCAUUGAUACUAUAGGUCUUGAAUCUUCUGGAGGUCAGCGGAAUAUGUCAUGUAGCGGUGAAAUGCUUAGAUAUGACAUAGAACACCAAUUGCGAAGGCAGCUGACUACAGAGGCAUUGACACUGAGGCACGAAAGCGUGGGGAUCAAACAGG